UACCAGCACCCCGAGCGGUCGGGACGUUUAUUGGGCCUAAAGCGUCCGUAGCCGGUUCUACGAGUCUUCCGUUAAAUCCAACUGCUUAACAGGUGGGCUGCGGAAGAUACUAUAGAGCUAGGAGGCGGGAGAGGCAAGCGGUACUCGAUGGGUAGGGGUAAAAUCCGUUGAUCCAUUGAAGACCACCAGUGGCGAAGGCGGCUUGCCAGAACGCGCUCGACGGUGAGGGAUGAAAGCUGGGGGAGCAAACCGG
rnacentral:rRNA from 1 species